AGCGAACGCUGGCGGCAGGCUUAACACAUGCAAGUCGAACGGGCGUAGCAAUACGUCAGUGGCAGACGGGUGAGUAACGCGUGGGAACGUACCUUUUGGUUCGGAACAACCCAGGGAAACGUUGGGCGUAAUACCGGAUAAGCCCUUACGGGGUAAGGAUUUAUCGCCGAAAGAUCGGCCCGCGUCUGAUUAGCUAGUUGGUGUGGUAACGGCGCACCAAGGCGACGAUCAGUAGCUGGUCUGAGAGGAUGAUCAGCCACAUUGGGACUGAGACACGGCCCAAACUCCUACGGGAGGCAGCAGUGGGGAAUAUUGGACAAUGGGCGCAAGCCUGAUCCAGCCAUGCCGCGUGGGUGAUGAAGGCCCUAGGGUUGUAAGCUCUUUUGUGCGGGAAGAUAAUGACGGUACCGCAAGAAUAAGCCCCGGCUAACUUCGUGCCAGC
rnacentral:rRNA from 1 species